rnacentral:rRNA from 1 species
UACGUAGGGGGCAAGCGUUGUCCGGAUUUAUUGGGCGUAAAGAGCGUGUAGGCGGCCAGGUAGGUCCGUUGUGAAAACUCGAGGCUCAACCUCGAGACGCCGAUGGAAACCAUCUGGCUAGAGUCCGGAAGAGGAGAGUGGAAUUCCCGGUGUAGCGGUGAAAUGCGCAGAUAUCUGGAGGAACACCGGUGGCGAAGGCGGCAUCCUGGACCAACACUGACACUGAGGAGCGAAAGCCAGGGGAGCAAACGGG